rnacentral:rRNA from 1 species
AGGGAAUCUUCCACAAUGGACGAAAGUCUGAUGGAGCAACGCCGCGUGAGUGAUGAAGGGUUUCGGCUCGUAAAACUCUGUUGUUGGAGAAGAACGGGUGUCAGAGUAACUGUUGACAUCGUGACGGUAUCCAACCAGAAAGCCACGGCUAACUACGUGCCAGCAGCCGCGGUAAUACGUAGGUGGCAAGCGUUGUCCGGAUUUAUUGGGCGUAAAAGCGAGCGCAGGCGGUUUUUUAGGUCUGAUGUGAAAGCCUUCGGCUUAACCGGAGAAGUGCAUCGGAAACCGGGAGACUUGAGUGCAGAAGAGGACAGUGGAACUCCAUGUGUAGCGGUGAAAUGCGUAGAUAUAUGGAAGAACACCAGUGGCGAAAGGCGGCUGUCUGGUCUGCAAACUGACGCUGAGGCUCGAAAAGCAUGGGUAGCGAACAGGAUUAGAUACCCUGGUAGUCCAUGCCGUAAAACGAUGAGUGCUAAAGUGUUGGAGGGUUUUCCGCCCUUCAGUGCUGCAGCUAAACGCAUUAAAGCACUCCGCCUGGGGGAGUACGACCGC